rnacentral:rRNA from 1 species
CCUUAGAGUUUGAUCCUGGCUCAGGAUGAACGCUAGCUACAGGCUUAACACAUGCAAGUCGAGGGGCAGCGGGAUUGAAGCUUGCUUCAAUUGCCGGCGACCGGCGCACGGGUGAGUAACGCGUAUCCAACCUUCCGUACACUCAGGGAUAGCCUUUCGAAAGAAAGAUUAAUACCUGAUGGUAUGAUGAGAUUGCAUGAUAGCAUCAUUAAAGAUUUAUCGGUGUACGAUGGGGAUGCGUUCCAUUAGGUAGUAGGCGGGGUAACGGCCCACCUAGCCAACGAUGGAUAGGGGUUCUGAGAGGAAGGUCCCCCACAUUGGAACUGAGACACGGUCCAAACUCCUACGGGAGGCAGCAGUGAGGAAUAUUGGUCAAUGGACGAGAGUCUGAACCAGCCAAGUAGCGUGAAGGAUGAAGGUCCUACGGAUUGUAAACUUCUUUUAUAAGGGAAUAAAACCUCCCACGUGUGGGAGCUUGUAUGUACCUUAUGAAUAAGCAUCGGCUAACUCCGUGCCAGCAGCCGCGGUAAUACGGAGGAUGCGAGCGUUAUCCGGAUUUAUUGGGUUUAAAGGGAGCGCAGACGGGUCGUUAAGUCAGCUGUGAAAGUUUGGGGCUCAACCUUAAAAUUGCAGUUGAUACUGGCGUCCUUGAGUGCGGUUGAGGUGUGCGGAAUUCGUGGUGUAGCGGUGAAAUGCUUAGAUAUCACGAAGAACUCCGAUUGCGAAGGCAGCACACUAAUCCGUAACUGACGUUCAUGCUCGAAAGUGUGGGUAUCAAACAGGAUUAGAUACCCUGGUAGUCCACACGGU